GGCCGGUUAGCUCAGUUGGUCAGAGCGUCGUGCUAAUAUGUUAAUGAAGGUCGCGGGUUCGAUGCCCGUACUGGCCA
rnacentral:tRNA from 1 species